AUUGAACGCUGGCGGCAGGCCUAACACAUGCAAGUCGAGCGGAGCGGCGGACGGGCGAGUAAUGCCUAGGUAUCUGCCUGGUAGUGGGGGAUAACGUCCGGAAACGGGCGCUAAUACCGCACACUAUCAGAUGAGCCUAGUUCGGAUUAGCUAGUUGGUGGGGUAGAGGCCUACCAAGGCGACGAUCCGUAACUGGUCUGAGAGGAUGAUCAGUCACACUGGAACUGAGACACGGUCCAGACUCCUACGGGAGGCAGCAGUGGGGAAUAUUGGACAAUGGGCGAAAGCCUGAUCCAGCCAUGCCGCGUGUGUGAAGAAGGUCUUCGGGUUGUAAAGCACUUUAAGUUGGGAGGCGUUACCCGCAGAAUAAGCACCGGCUAACUUCGUGCCAGCAGCCGCGGUAAUUC
rnacentral:rRNA from 1 species